UGGGGAAUAUUGCACAAUGGGCGCAAGCCUGAUGCAGCGACGCCGCGUGGGGGAUGACGGCCUUCGGGUUGUAAACCUCUUUCACCAGGGACGAAGCGCAAGUGACGGUACCUGGAGAAGAAGCACCGGCCAACUACGUGCCAGCAGCCGCGGUAAUACGUAGGGUGCGAGCGUUGUCCGGAAUUACUGGGCGUAAAGAGCUCGUAGGUGGUUUGUCGCGUUGUCCGUGAAAUUUCACAGCUUAACUGUGAGCGUGCGGGCGAUACGGGCAGACUGGAGUACUGCAGGGGAGACUGGAAUUCCUGGUGUAGCGGUGGAAUGCGCAGAUAUCAGGAGGAACACCGGUGGCGAAGGCGGGUCUCUGGGCAGUAACUGACGCUGAGGAGCGAAAGCGUGGGGAGCGAACAGG
rnacentral:rRNA from 1 species